CGAAACUGGCAGGCUUGAGUCUUGUAGAGGGGGGUAGAAUUCCAGGUGUAGCGGUGAAAUGCGUAGAGAUCUGGAGGAAUACCGGUGGCGAAGGCGGCCCCCUGGACAAAGACUGACGCUCAGGUGCGAAAGCGUGGGGAGCAAACAGGAUUAGAUACCCUGGUAGUCCACGCCGUAAACGAUGUCUACUUGGAGGUUGUGCCCUUGAGGCGUGGCUUCCGGAGCUAACGCGUUAAGUAGACCGCCUGGGGAGUACGGCCGCAAGGUUAAAACUCAAAUGAAUUGACGGGGGCCCGCACAAGCGGUGGAGCAUGUGGUUUAAUUCGAUGCAACGCGAAGAACC
rnacentral:rRNA from 1 species